AAUCAACGCUGGCGGCGUGCCUCAGACAUGCAAGUCGAACGAGAAAGUCCCCUUCGGGGGAUAAGUAAAGUGGCGCACGGGUGAGUAACACGUAGGUAAUCUACCUUCGGGUGGGGAAUAACCCAGGGAAACUUGGGCUAACACCGCAUAAUGCAGCGGCACUACAUGGUGACAGUUGUUAAAGCGGGGGAUUUUCGGACCUCGCGCCUGAAGAGGAGCCUGCGGCGGAUUAGCUAGUUGGUAAGGAACGGCUUACCAAGGCAACGAUCCGUAGCCGGCCUGAGAGGGCGGUCGGCCACACUGACACUGACAUACGGGUCAGACUCCUACGGGAGGGCAGCAGUCGGGAAUUUUGGGCAAUGGGCGAAAGCCUGACCCAGCAACGCCGCGUGAAGGAUGAAAUCCCUCGGGAUGUAAACUUCGCAAGAAUAGGGAAGAAUUAGCGAGCGCUAAUACCGCUCGUGAUGAC
rnacentral:rRNA from 1 species